UUAGGAAUAUUGCACAAUGGAGGAAACUCUGAUGCAGUGACGCCGCGUAAAGGAAGAAGGUUUUCGGAUUGUAAACUUUUGUUGGUCUGGGAAGAAAAAAGACUGUACCAGACGAGAAAGCCACGGCAAACUACGUGCCAGCAGCCGCGGUAAUACGUAGGUGGCAAGCGUUAUCCGGAUUUAUUGGGUGUAAAGCGUGUGUAGACGGUUAAUUAAGAUAGACUUUAAAAACCAAGGCUCAACCUUGGGGGUGGGUCUGUGACUGGUUAACUAGAGUACUGGAGGGGAAAGUGGAAUUCCUAGUGUAGCGGUGAAAUGCAUAGAGAUUAGGAGGAACACCAGUGGCGAAGGCGACUUUCUGGACAGAAACUGACGUUGAGACACGAAAGUGUGGGGAGCAAACA
rnacentral:rRNA from 1 species